rnacentral:rRNA from 1 species
UACGAAGGGGGCUAGCGUUGUUCGGAUUUACUGGGCGUAAAGCGCACGUAGGCGGAUUGUUAAGUGAGGGGUGAAAUCCCGGGGCUCAACCCCGGAACUGCCUUUCAUACUGGCAAUCUAGAGUCCGGAAGAGGUAAGUGGAACUCCUAGUGUAGAGGUGGAAUUCGUAGAUAUUAGGAAGAACACCAGUGGCGAAGGCGGCUUACUGGUCCGGAACUGACGCUGAGGUGCGAAAGCGUGGGGAGCAAACAGG